GGGAGGACUGCUUGAGCCCAGGAGCUUGAGGCUGCAGUGAGCUAUGAUAGCACCACUGCACUCCAGCCUGAGUGACAGAGCAAGACCUUGUCUC
rnacentral:miRNA from 1 species